rnacentral:rRNA from 1 species
UACGAAGGGUGCAAGCGUUACUCGGACUUACUGGGCGUAAAGGGUGCGUAGGCGGUUCGUUAAGUCUGUCGUGAAAUCCCCGGGCUCAACCUGGGAAUGGCGAUGGAUACUGGCGAGCUAGAGUGUGUCAGAGGAUGGUGGAAUUCCCGGUGUAGCGGUGAAAUGCGUAGAGAUCGGGAGGAACAUCAGUGGCGAAGGCGGCCAUCUGGGACAACACUGACGCUGAAGCACGAAAGCGUGGGGAGCAAACAGG